rnacentral:rRNA from 1 species
AGGACGAACGCUGGCGGCGUGCUUAACACAUGCAAGUCGAGCGGAAAGGCCCUUCGGGGUACUCGAGCGGCGAACGGGUGAGUAACACGUGAGUAAUCUGCCCCUAGCUCUGGGAUAGCUCCGGGAAACCGGGAUUAAUACCGGAUACGACCACCUUAGACAUCUUUUGUGGUGGAAAGAAUUUCGGCUAGGGAUGAGCUCGCGGCCUAUCAGCUUGUUGGUGGGGUAACGGCCUACCAAGGCGACGACGGGUAGCCGGCCUGAGAGGGCGACCGGCCACACUGGGACUGAGACACGGCCCAGACUCCUACGGGAGGCAGCAGUGGGGAAUAUUGCGCAAUGGGCGAAAGCCUGACGCAGCGACGCCGCGUGGGGGAUGAAGGCCUUCGGGUUGUAAACCCCUUUCAGCAGGGACGAAGCGAAAGUGACGGUACCUGCAGAAGAAGCGCCGGCUAACUACGCGCCAGCACGCCGC